GUCUGACACGACUGAGUGAAUAAGCACAUUCAUAGGCUUAGGGAAGAAAGCAGUAGGGAGGGAGAGAGACAGGGGAUACAGUGAAGAAUGGAUCCAUGAAAAGACUAAAACAUCAGAGGCGAGAAGAAAGGACUUCAAGCCCAGGAGACAACAUCUCAAGUGACCCUGCAAGAAUCGCUCUGAGGAGGGGAUGGUUCGAGUAGACAAAGUCAAGAGUGAUUGAUCGAGUCAAGAGGCCCCAGUGUUCCCUGGCUUCCUGGUUGAGUUUGGUCCUCCUAACUUGAGAUCUUCACAUCAAGCAUUCCCCAUGUCGUAAGGAACUGAGGCCUGCAGUCAAUCGUGUGAGUGAGAUUGAAAGCAAAUCCUCUAGCCCCAGUGAAACUUAAGAAUGUUGCG
ensembl:lncRNA